rnacentral:piRNA from 1 species
UAUUCAGUUCCGAGUUCUUAUGAUGGGAU